rnacentral:snoRNA from 1 species
AAGACUAUACUUUCAGGCAUUAUUUCUGUAGUUUGUUACUAGAGAAUUUCCUCUGACCGUGUGAGCACCCGAAAUCACAGAAGCCAGAGCAUCCUCCUGAGUGAGAAGCCGCUUCUAGAUGUUGCUUCUGCAGUUGCCUUUUCCCAAUGAUGAUUGUUCUUCUCUUCCUUUGGAAGAGGGAGAGGGAGAGGAUGCAGUCUGACUGG